GAAGUAAAAAUCGUAACAAGGUCUCCGUUGGUGAACCAGCGGAGGGAUCAUUACCGAGUUUACAACUCCCAAACCCCUGUGAACAUACCACUUGUUGCCUCGGCGGAUCAGCCCGCUCCCGGUAAAACGGGACGGCCCGCCAGAGGACCCCUAAACUCUGUUUCUAUAUGUAACUUCUGAGUAAAACCAUAAAUAAAUCAAAACUUUCAACAACGGAUCUCUUGGUUCUGGCAUCGAUGAAGAACGCAGCAAAAUGCGAUAAGUAAUGUGAAUUGCAGAAUUCAGUGAAUCAUCGAAUCUUUGAACGCACAUUGCGCCCGCCAGUAUUCUGGCGGGCAUGCCUGUUCGAGCGUCAUUUCAACCCUCAAGCACAGCUUGGUGUUGGGACUCGCGUUAAUUCGCGUUCCUCAAAUUGAUUGGCGGUCACGUCGAGCUUCCAUAGCGUAGUAGUAAAACCCUCGUUACUGGUAAUCGUCGCGGCCACGCCGUUAAACCCCAACUUCUGAAUGUUGACCUCGGAUCAGGUAGGAAUACCCGCUGAACUUAAGCAUAUC
rnacentral:rRNA from 1 species